GAGUUGCGAACGGGUGAGUAACGCGUAGGUAACCUGCCUGGUAGCGGGGGAUAACUAUUGGAAACGAUAGCUAAUACCGCAUAAGAACAUUUACUGCAUGGUAGAUGUUUAAAAGGUGCAAAUGCAUCACUACCAGAUGGACCUGCGUUGUAUUAGCUAGUAGGUGAGGUAACGGCUCACCUAGGCGACGAUACAUAGCCGACCUGAGAGGGUGAUCGGCCACACUGGGACUGAGACACGGCCCAGACUCCUACGGGAGGCAGCAGUAGGGAAUCUUCGGCAAUGGGGGGAACCCUGACCGAGCAACGCCGCGUGAGUGAAGAAGGUUUUCGGAUCGUAAAGCUCUGUUGUUAAGGAAGAACGAGUGUGAGAAUGGAAAGUUCAUACUGUGACGGUACUUAACCAGAAAGGGACGGCUAACUACGUGCCAGCAGCCGCGGUAAUACGUAGGUCCCGAGCGUUGUCCGGAUUUAUUGGGCGUAAAGCGAGCGCAGGCGGUUAGAUAAGUCUGAAGUUAAAGGCAGUGGCUCAACCAUUGUAGGCUUUGGAAACUGUUUAACUUGAGUGCAGAAGGGGAGAGUGGAAUUCCAUGUGUAGCGGUGAAAUGCGUAGAUAUAUGGAGGAACACCGGUGGCGAAAGCGGCUCUCUGGUCUGUAACUGACGCUGAGGCUCGAAAGCGUGGGGAGCGAACAGGAUUAGAUACCCUGGUAGUCCACGCCGUAAACGAUGAGUGCUAGGUGUUAGGUCCUUUCCGGGACUUAGUGCCGCAGCUAACGCAUUAAGCACUCCGCCUGGGGAGUACGACCGCAAGGUUGAAACUCAAAGGAAUUGACGGC
rnacentral:rRNA from 1 species